rnacentral:rRNA from 1 species
AUUGAACGCUGGCGGCAUGCUUUACACAUGCAAGUCGAACGGUAACAGGUUAAGCUGACGAGUGGCGAACGGGUGAGUAAUGCAUCGGAACGUGCCCGAUCGUGGGGGAUAACGCAGCGAAAGCUGCGCUAAUACCGCAUACGAUCUGAGGAUGAAAGCAGGGGACCGUAAGCCCUCGCGCGAUCGGAGCGGCCGAUGUCAGAUUAGGUAGUUGGUGGGGUAGAGGCUCACCAAGCCAACGAUCUGUAGCCGGUCUGAGAGGACGACCAGCCACACUGGGACUGAGACACGGCCCAGACUCCUACGGGAGGCAGCAGUGGGGAAUUUUGGACAAUGGGCGAAAGCCUGAUCCAGCGAUGCCGCGUGCAGGAAGAAGGCCUUCGGGUUGUAAACUGCUUUUGUACGGAGCGAAAAGGCUCUCUCUAAUACAGGGGGCUCAUGACGGUACCGUAAGAAUAAGCACCGGCUAACUACGUGCCAGCCGCCGCAGUAA